rnacentral:misc_RNA from 1 species
CGCGAGAAUAAGCAACAAAAAACACGAAAGGAGCAAGCCACGGCCCAGCGAGCAGCGGCGCUGGGCACAUGGGCGGUGAGCGAGGCGCAACGCCGGCGGACAGCAGUUGUUGCGAGGAGAGCAUCUGAAGCGAGCUGCCGUCGGCGCGGGCGGACUCGUGAAAGCGCAACGCGCGUCAGCUGCAGGUGUGCGCGCCUCCACCGGCAAGCAGAGCCCCGGCCCUUGAGCCGCCGCGCGCUCGCGCCCACGACGCUGUGCUGCCGUCGCUGCUGCCCACCGAGGCGCGUCCCCCCAUGCGCGCAGUUAGGCCUAGCUAGAAGAACGCCGCCGCACGAGACGAUCACCACGACGACACACGCACGGGGCCGGAUUACGAGAGGCGAGCAAAGCGGCGCAGCGCGACCACGUCCCCCAUGUCCGUGGCCAACACCGAGAGCUCAAUGACUCUGAGCCAGAGCAUGGAUUCCGUCAACACGGUCGCCGAGGAAGAGGUGAGUGUCCCACGCUGUUGUUCUUGCUCGGUGGAACCGUGCGGCGUUCAUUCGGUGCGAACACUCUUCGUGAGUGGCCUUCCCAUGGACGCAAAGCCCAGGGAACUCUACCUACUAUUCCGUGCCUACAAGGGAUAUGAAGGAUCUCUGCUGAAAGUCACACAAAAGAAUGGAAAGACAUCUUCGCCCGUAGGUUUUGUAACAUUUUCCUCGCGAGCUGGUGCAGAAGCCGCCAAGCAGGAGCUUCAGCAGGGCGUGCGGUUCGACCCCGACCUUCCACAGACCAUCCGGCUCGAGUUCGCCAAGAGCAACACAAAGGUUAGCAAACCGAAACAGCAGUCUCCUCCCGCCGCGGCCACGCACCCGACACUCCUGCACCCUAUCACGGGACAAGAAAUCGGCGCUGCCCUGCUGCCGGGGACCCACGACGGCUGGCCACACCACCCUCUCUCCUACGCUGAAGUGCCCGUCACCACUACCCUGCACACUGCGGCUCUCAUGCACCCGGCCCUCCAUGCGCAGCUGCCUCCUCCGUUGACGAUGCCGCACCCCCUGUCGCACGCGGCGCUGGCUGGCAGUGCAGCUGCGAUGCACGCGACCAUGCCGCCCCCGCACCUGGUCACCAGCCCGGCGCUCGCGUCACCUGUCGGCUCCACCUCGUCUUCGGCUGCCGCAGCGGGAACGCCACCCUGCUCCACGCUGUUCGUGGCCAACUUGGGACAGUUCGUCUCCGAGCAAGAGCUCAAGGACCUCUUCGGAAGGACGUCCGCCUUGCAACACAUGCUAUGAAUGCCUUGCAGGGCUGUGUACUGUUCUCCUCAGAUCGAGGUGGAGUCCGCAUUGAAUUCGCCAAAAACAAGAUGGGAGAGGUAUCCCGUGAAUGAUGAACUGCAACAGUCGAGAAAACGCUUCAAGUUUCCUUAGGUGAAUCUCGGUGUGUGCUCGAGGGGUGUACACAGCAGGCUGCAGUGCAAGCAACCAAAGGCGAAGGCUUGGACAAUAUUUUCAGUACAUUGCAUUAUUCGCGUUUCCCG